CCAGUUCGUUGGAAUUGAUGUAGAGUUCUUCCAGAUUGCUCAAGUUGCAGAGCUCACUCGGGAUUUCCCCUGUUAAGCUAUUGUCACUUAAAUCCAGGUACCUCAACUGGGGAAGAAGACUAAUCUCUUUGGUAAUUGGACCAGUAAGAUUUGUACUCGAAAGAACAAGCUUGGAGAGUGUCUGCAAUGAGGUGAAAUUAGAAGGUAGUGUUCCAAACAAAUUGACAUCCUUCAAAUUCAAUUCAACAACCUGGUUAUUGUUGUUGCAGGUGAUCCCAGACCAUGAACAGGGAGUUUCAUCAUCUGGGUUCCAAUUAUCCAAGGCCAGAAGGGAUCCAUUGAAGUUGAUCUUCCAUGAAAGAAGAGUCUGAGCUUGUGGGUUGAGAGCCAGAGAUUGAAGAGAGAAAAGAAGAAAUAA
rnacentral:lncRNA from 1 species